rnacentral:sRNA from 1 species
AUCCUCUCCCCUCACUCUCUUUCUUUCCUUAACUCUCUUUCUCUCCUCUCCACUCCUCCUAGGGCGGCGGUGGCAGGAGCUGGCAGCGGCGACGGCUAGGGUUUCUUUUUUUGAAUUCUUUUUGGAAUUUUUUUUUCGCGAUUUAGUGGGUGGCCGGCAUCGAUGGUGUGGCCAGUGGCCGGCGUCGUCCGCGUCGUCUGUGGUGGUGGCGGCGGCGAAAAUGGUGGGGGCGAGGACGGAGCGAGAGAGGAAGGGCGGCGAGAUGGCGGGGGCGAGGUCGCGAGGAGCCGACUAGCCGAGGACAGCGGCCAGUAGUGGUGCGCUCGACCCCUGGAUGCGCCGCUCCGCCGCCGCCUCUCUCUCUCUCUCUCUCCUCUCUAAGGUUAGCCAGUUAGGGACUUGGGUUGGGCUGGGAACUUGGGGAGGAAUUAUGGACUAUUUGGAUGGAUCUUUUUAAUUUCAGAAAUUCCGACAAACUUUCCGG